GGUGGGUGUAGCUCAGUGGUAGAGUAUCUGCUUUGCAAGCGGAAGGUGUCAGGUUCAAACCCUGCCAUCUCCA